UGGGCACGAUCUGUGAGUCCGUGACACGUGUAUUAAUCUCACUUGUAAUGUCUGUAUUCCAGGCUAUGAGGAAAUAUGUAAAUUUUGCUUCAUAACGUUGAAAAUGUUUGCUCUGAACUUGUGAACCCAGGCACGGAAAUCGUCCCUCCCACCCAUUCAGGAGGCCUACCAAGAUUAAAAGGGCCACUAAGGAUCAUCACAAUUCAAAGGAUUGGUGAAGGGCCCUAUCACACAUUGGAAAUGCUCUGUGCAAGGGCUGGAAGGCUAAAUGCAAAAGAUAAAACAGGGUCACAAGAAAAUUUUCCAUUUCUUUGCCAUUUGAACCCUCACAGGGCCAGAGAUGCUAAACUAAGGCAGAGAUCCCCAUGGGUUACCCCGGUCUGCCCUGAAAGACAUUGUGAACUGACAGAUUACUACAUCUCCGUCAUCUUUAGGAACCAUAGAUUGUAACUCAUUUGUGUGUAUAUACUUGCUUGCUUUAACUUGUAAAUAACUCUCUUAUUUCUUUUUCCUAGUUCAUACACCGUUAAUUAUUUUAUUAGAGGAUAGGCUACAGGCGUUGUCUUUGGUGUGAGAUCUGAGAUACAAAUUGAUCUGAGGCCCAGGAGAUCGAAUAGGUCCUGUCUACUCCAAGCAGGAGCAUGUCUGGUGCAUGGAGCCAGCAUGGUCGAUUGGACAGUUGUACACAACAAGGGAGAGCUACGAAUUGUGCUCGCCAAGCUACCGCCGCUCGGAGAGGUAGAUUUACUACAGUGGUAGUAAACCCCACCAGCCUCACAAUUGUCCAAGCUCCUGGCUGCGUGACAGCACACACAACUGAAUGGAAGGUCGGAGCCGUGCCACUGGGAUCCACCACACCUGCUUGUGAUUGAAGCAAGGAAGGGAGCACCUCGAAUACUAAAUACUUAUAUGUGAACCACUGACUGGCGUACAUUGGGCCAGCAGAUAGCCUCUGAUCUGGUGGAACAGGGGCUGUGACGGACGUUCCUUUCCUCCCCCGACAAACUUCAUCCCUUCUGCUGGCACCAGCCUCAUCGGAUUUGCUGUCUUCAUCAGGUAUGUUCCACUCUCAGUGAGAAGUGACCGGGCUGGAUUGGCUGCCAUGGGCUGGCCCAUCACAACACGAGCCCGUUUCCGUUUCCACGACAGCAGGGCAUGGCCUCUUCCAUUGGUAGCAGGUUUGGAUCUGCCUGAAUGAGCGAAGCCGCCUGUGGCUCUCGUGGUUAGUGGUAUGAGCCCCGGUGAUGACUCUGGAGACACAAACGGCGCUGCUGUGAUGCUUUUGGGUAUUGUGACAGGCAGCGCUUACUGGUGGUGCUGCAUAGUGGUUAGAUACUUCGCUCACAACAACCUCCCAUCUCUAGUGUCCCUUCCGAUGGGUCACGCCGGCACCGUGCAGGUCUCCUUUCUGGCACAGGGUAACUUGGCCCUCUGACUGGCUCACCACUUGAGUCCGACCCCUUCCAGGGGGUUAACAGAGACCGACAAAAUAUAUAAGUCCAAUGUCCCCCACAAAAGAGAGAGUCUUCAGCCCACAUCCAGGCCCUGUGGGCUGCACACCCUUGCGUCAGAUCUUACAAGGUCUCUAUUUCCCUGAUCUCUGGGGGUGAAGGGAUUUGUGCUACAUUCACAGGAAGGUGGCUGGUAAACUGUGUCCUUCCUCUCCACCAUGCUCCAGCCCUGGGCCCUAUGAGAAGCAGCGAUAUCCCUAGGCCGCUUCCUACCACUUACCCUCCCAGUCCAUGGCGUGGUCAAAAGCCUUGCAAAUGAUCCACCAGGAGAUGGAGUGCAGGGUUGUCUAGUCCUAGGCAAAGGCUAAUUCUUCCUCAAGGGCCUGGGGUAGCUGCUGCUCGUAGCCCUUUCCCCUGCAGCCAGGACUCCAACUCAGCCUUUACUCCAGAGUUCCCACGACAGGUCUAUCCUCUAUCCUGUUUGUCCCCUUCUGAGCUGUCUGGUUCUCUUUUAAGCUGCUCCUCCUCCAGCGGGAACAGGCUCUGCAGGUGCAGCGUGCCAGAGCCACCUAUGGCCAGAACUGCUCCUUAACCCUUUCUACCCCAGUGUGGGGUUUACA